AGGGUUUGAUCAUGGCUCAGGACGAACGCUGGCGGCGUGCUUAACACAUGCAAGUCGUGGGGGGGUAGCAAUACCUCACCGGCGAACGGGUGCGUAACACGUGAGCAACAUUCCGAUUUCUGGGGGAUAGCCGGCCCAACGGCCGGGUAAUACCGCAUACGCUCAUUGAGAGGAGUCUUUCGAUGAGGAAACCUCCGGGGGAAAUCGAGUGGCUCGCGGCCUAUCAGCUAGUUGGCGGGGUAAUGGCCCACCAAGGCAAUGACGGGUAGCUGGUCUGAGAGGAUGGCCAGCCACAUUGGGACUGAGAAACGGCCCAGACUCCUACGGGAGGCAGCAGUGGGAAUCUUGCGCAAUGGACGAAAGUCUGACGCAGCGACGCCGCGUGCGGGAGGAAGCUCUUCGGGGUGUAAACCGCUGUUGCCCGGAACGAAACGCCAGAUUCGUCUGGCUUGACGGUACCGGGUGAGGAAGCGCCGGCUAACUCUGUGCCAGCAGCCGCGGUAAUACAGAGGGCGCGAGCGUUGUCCGGAAUCACUGGGCGUAAAGGGCGCGUAGGUGGCCACUAUAAGGCCGUGGUGAAAGUUCGGGGCUCAACCCUGAAUCUGCCGCGGCGACUGUAGGGCUAGGGCACCGUAGAGGCAGAUGGAAUUCCGGGUGUAGCGGUGGAAUGCGUAGAGAUCCGGAAGAACACCGGUGGCGAAGGCGGUCUGCUGGGCGGUGAGCUCGCAAGAGCUCAAUAGCCGACACUGAGGCGCGACAGCGUGGGGAGCAAACAGGAUUAGAUACCCUGGUAGUCCACGCCGUAAACGAUGGGCACUAGGUGCUUUGGGGAGCGACCCUCAGGGUACCGGCGCUAACGCAUGAAGUGCCCCGCCUGGGGAGUACGGCCGCAAGGCUGAACUCAAAGGAAUUGACGGGGGCCCGCCACAAGCGGUG
rnacentral:rRNA from 1 species